UACGGAGGGUGCGAGCGUUGUCCGGAAUCAUUGGGCGUAAAGGGCGCGUAGGUGGCCCGGUCAGUUCGUGGUGAAAGCGCGGGGCUCAACUCCGCGUCGGCCAUGAAUACUGCUGGGCUUGAGCACUGUAGAGGCAGGCGGAAUUCCGGGUGUAGCGGUGGAAUGCGUAGAGAUCCGGAAGAACACCGGUGGCGAAGGCGGCCUG
rnacentral:rRNA from 1 species